rnacentral:rRNA from 1 species
GUAGGUGGCAAGCGUUGUCCGGAUUUACUGGGUGUAAAGGGCGUGUAGGCGGGGAUAUAAGUCAGAUGUGAAAUCCUGUGGCUCAACCACAGAACUGCAUCUGAAACUAUAUCUCUUGAGUAAUGGAGAGGAAAGUGGAAUUCCUAGUGUAGCGGUGGAAUGCGUAGAUACUAGGAGGAACACCAGUGGCGAAGGCGACUUUCUGGACAUUAACUGACGCUGAGACGCGAAAGCGUGGGGGGAGCAAACAGGAUUAGAUACCCUGGUAGUCCACGCCGUAAACGAUGAGUACUAGGUGUAGGAGGUAUCGACCCUUCUGUGCCGCAGCUAACGCAAUAAGUAUUCCACCUGGGGAGUACGGUCGCAAGACUG